AUUGAACGCUGGCGGCAUGCCUUACACAUGCAAGUCGAACGGUAACAGGCCGCAGGGUGCUGACGAGUGGCGAACGGGUGAGUAAUGCAUCGGAACGUGCCCAGUCGUGGGGGAUAACUGCUCGAAAGAGCAGCUAAUACCGCAUACGACCUGAGGGUGAAAGCGGGGGACCGUAAGGCCUCGCGCGAUUGGAGCGGCCGAUGUCAGAUUAGCUAGUUGGUGGGGUAAAGGCCUACCAAGGCAACGAUCUGUAGUUGGUCUGAGAGGACGACCAGCCACACUGGGACUGAGACACGGCCCAGACUCCUACGGGAGGCAGCAGUGGGGAAUUUUGGACAAUGGGCGCAAGCCUGAUCCAGCAAUGCCGCGUGCAGGAAGAAGGCCUUCGGGUUGUAAACUGCUUUUGUCAGGGAAGAAAUCUUCUGGGCUAAUACCCCGGGAGGAUGACGGUACCUGAAGAAUAAGCACCGGCUAACUACGUGCCAGCCGCCGCAGUAAUAC
rnacentral:rRNA from 1 species